AUUAAUAGUUAUAAUCUUUAAACUUAAAAAAAUUGGCGGUAUUUAAAUCUGAUUAGGGGAAUUUGUUUAUUAAAUGAUAAUCCUCAAGAAACCUUACUUUAAUUAAUUUAACUUAUUUAUUGCCGUUAUCAGAUUAUUUUUUAAGAAUUAAAAAUUUUCUAAAUUUUUUAUUUAAAUUUAUUUCAGGUCAUUAUGUAGUUUAUAUUAAAGUUUAGAUGAAUUACAAUAAAUUAUAUUUAUAUGAAUAUAAAAUUGCAAUAUUUUAUUGAAAGUGGACUUAAUAGUAAAUAUUAAAUUAUUAUUUUAUUUUGAAAUAAGAAUUAAAU
rnacentral:rRNA from 1 species